GGCUUCAACAACCCCGCGGUCUGGGCGCUGAUUCCGAUUGCGAGUUUCGGAAAAUGAAGCGCAGUGAGCCCGCUGGAGCC
rnacentral:sRNA from 12 species